CCUACGGGCGGCAGCAGUGGGGAAUAUUGCACAAUGGGGGAAACCCUGAUGCAGCGACGCCGCGUGAGUGAAGAAGUAAUUCGUUACGUAAAGCUCUAUCAGCAGGGAAGAAAAUGACGGUACCUGAGUAAGAAGCCCCGUCUAAGUACGGGCCAGCAGCCGCGGUAAUACGUAGGGGGCAAGCGUUAUCCGGAUUUACUGGGUGGAAAGGGAGCGUAGACGGUGCGCCAAGUCUGGAGUGAAAUGCCGGAGGUUAACUGCGGAACUGCUUUUGAAACUGGCGAACUAGAGUGCGGGAGGGGUAAGCGGAAUUCCUAGUGUAGCGGUGAAAUGCGUAGAUAUUAGGAGGAACACCGGGGGCGAAGGCGGCUUACUGGACCGUAACUGACGUUGAGGCUCGAAAGCGUGGGGAGCAAACAGGAUUAGAUACCCGAGUAGUC
rnacentral:rRNA from 1 species